UACGGAGGGUGCAAACGUUGCUCGGAAUCAUUGGGCAUAAAGCGCACGUAGGCGGUCCAGCAAGUCGGGAGUGAAAUCCCUCGGCUUAACCGAGGAAGUGCUUUCGAAACUACUGGACUUGAAUACUGGAGAGGGUUGCGGAAUUCCCGGUGUAGAGGUGAAAUUCGUAGAUAUCUGGAGGAACACCGGUGGCGAAGGCGGCAUCCUGGACCGACAUUGACGCUGAGGCGCGAAAGCCAGGGGGAGCAAACAGG
rnacentral:rRNA from 1 species